UACGUAGGGGGCUAGCGUUGUCCGGAAUCAUUGGGCGUAAAGAGCGUGUAGGCGGCCCGGUAAGUCCGCUGUAAAAGUCAAAGGCUCAACCUUUGAAUGUCAGUGGAUACUGCCGGGCUAGAGUCCGGAAGAGGCGAGUGGAACUCCUGGUGUAGCGGUGGAAUGCGUAGAGAUCCGGAGGAACGCCGGUGGCGAAAGCGGCCACCUGGGUCUGACCUGACGCUGAGGUGCGAAAGCGUGGGGAGCAAACCGG
rnacentral:rRNA from 1 species